rnacentral:misc_RNA from 1 species
GGCGCCACCCUUCACCACGUUUUCCAUUGUCACUUGCUCGCUCAUUGUAUUUGCAACCCUUUAAUCUUUUUAAGAUUAAGGGCCUAUAGCUCAGUUGGUUAGAGCACACGCCUGAUAAGCGUGAGGUCGGUGGUUCAAGUCCAUUUAGGCCCACCAUAACCACAAAUAGGCAAAAUCUUAAAAAAGCUCCUUUGAAAAGUAGAUAAACGAAGGUAAAAA